GGGUGGCAUAGAUGUUAGAGCGUCCGCUUGGGAUGCGGUAGGUCGUGGGUUCGAUCCCCGGUCGAUUCA